CAGCCGCCACGGGAAUACGUAGGGUGCAAGCGUUAAUCGGAAUUACUGGGCGUAAAGCGUGCGCAGGCGGUUAUAUAAGACAGAUGUGAAAUCCCCGGGCUCAACCUGGGAACUGCAUUUGUGACUGUAUAGCUAGAGUACGUCAGAGGGGGAUGGAAUUCCGCGUGUAGCAGUGAAAUGCGUAGAUAUGCGGAGGAACACCGAUGGCGAAGGCAAUCCCCUGGGCCUGUACUGACGCUCAUGCACGAAAGCGUGGGGAGCAAACAGGAUUAGAUACCCCCGUAGUCCCUGUCUCUUAUAC
rnacentral:rRNA from 1 species